CAGGCCUAACACAUGCAAGUCGAACGGUAACGCGGGGGCAACCCUGGCGACGAGUGGCGAACGGGUGAGUAAUACAUCGGAACGUACCCAGUAGUGGGGGAUAGCCCGGCGAAAGCCGGAUUAAUACCGCAUACGACCUAUGGGUGAAAGCGGGGGAUCGCAAGACCUCGCGCUAUUGGAGCGGCCGAUGUCGGAUUAGCUAGUUGGUGGGGUAAAAGCUCACCAAGGCGACGAUCCGUAGCUGGUCUGAGAGGACGACCAGCCACACUGGGACUGAGACACGGCCCAGACUCCUACGGGAGGCAGCAGUGGGGAAUUUUGGACAAUGGGCGAAAGCCUGAUCCAGCCAUGCCGCGUGUGUGAAGAAGGCCUUCGGGUUGUAAAGCACUUUUGUCCGGAACGAAACGGCGAGAGCGAAGACCUCUCGCUAAUGACGGUACCGGAAGAAGAAGCACCGGCUAACGACGUGCCAGCAGCCGCGGUAA
rnacentral:rRNA from 1 species